AAGCUCACUUGAGCAGCACAUAUACUAAAAUUGGAACAAUACGGAGAGCAUUAGCAUGGCCCCUGUGCAAAGGUGAUGCUCAAAUUUGUGAAUCAUUCCAUAUUUUU
rnacentral:snRNA from 1 species